UGGAAUCUGACAUUUCCAAGACAGUGC
rnacentral:piRNA from 1 species